AGCGAACGCUGGCGGCAGGCUUAACACAUGCAAGUCGAGCGGGCACUUCGGUGUCAGCGGCAGACGGGUGAGUAACACGUGGGAACGUACCCUUUGGUUCGGAAUAACGCCGGGAAACUCGCGCUAAUACCGGAUACGCCCUUUUGGGGAAAGGCUUGCUGCCGAAGGAUCGGCCCGCGUCUGAUUAGCUAGUUGGUGGGGUAAUGGCCUACCAAGGCGACGAUCAGUAGCUGGUCUGAGAGGAUGAUCAGCCACACUGGGACUGAGACACGGCCCAGACUCCUACGGGAGGCAGCAGUGGGGAAUAUUGGACGAUGGGCGCAAGCCUGAUCCUGCCAUGCCGCGUGAGUGAUGAAGGCGUUAGGGUUGUAAAGCUCUUUUGUCCGGGACGAUAAUGACGGUACCGGAAGAAUAAGCCCCGGCUAACUUCGUG
rnacentral:rRNA from 1 species